ACGGAAGGCAGCAGUGGGGAAUAUUGCACAAUGGGGGAAACCCUGAUGCAGCGACGCCGCGUGAGUGAAGAAGUAUUUCGGUAUGUAAAGCUCUAUCAGCAGGAAAGAAAAUGACGGUACCUGACUAAGAAGCCCCGGCUAACUACGUGCCAGCAGCCGCGGUAAUACGUAGGGGGCAAGCGUUAUCCGGAUUUAUUGGGUUUAAAGGGAGCGUAGGCGGACUGUUAGGUCUGUGGUCAAAUGUCAGGGCCCAACCUUGGCAUGCCAUGGAAACCGGCGGUCUUGAAUACACGCAAGGCAGAUGGAAUUCGUCGUGUAGCGGUGAAAUGCUUAGAUAUGACGAAGAACUCCGAUUGCGAAGGCAGUCUGCUGGAGUGCGAUUGACGCUGAGGCUCGAAAGCGCGGGUAUCAAACAGGAUUAGAUACCCUGGUA
rnacentral:rRNA from 1 species